CCUCAAUCUCGAGUUCUCUCUCUCUCUCUUUUCUCCUGUCUCCUGAUCAACUAAGAUCUUCCUCUUCUCUUUCUCUUUCCUCUCUCCUCAACUAGAUCUAGGGUUUCUGAUUUCUACUCCACCUCACCCUCGUACAUCUGCUUUUCCGGUGCCCGUCCCGAUCAAGUCCGAAACAAGUUCUCUAUUCCGGCGACUUCAAUAGUUCAACACGAUUGGUAGUACUGUAGCAUCGUUUAUUCCAGUGGCUGUCGGAGAUGUUAUCUAUAUUGAAGCGAACAAUGGGGCAGUUAAGUGGGUGGGAAUAAGUGAGGCUUUUUCCACAGAGUUCGACCUUGAGGCAAAGGAGUCUUUCCCACUUCCUAAAGGAGAAGUUCACAAAACAAAACAAAAAAAAAAAAAAAGGAAAUUGUGCAGGUUUGUGAUGUGAUUGUUUGGGUGUUUUGGAUUUAUUUUUGUUCUCCUCUAGCUUAAUUUGGGUGUUUUGGAUUUUUUUUUGUUCUCCUUCAGCUUAAGUUCAUUGAGACAAAUUAUGAGCUUAAUUUGGGUGUUUUGGAUUUUUUUUGUUCUCAUUCAGCUUGGGAUUGUUUGAAAUGGUUUUGUGAGUAUACUAGUAUCAAAUGUGAUUUUGUUUUGUGCGAUUAUAUUAGUAUCUAUUUUUGUUUUGUGAUUUUGUUUGGGAUUGUUAUGUUGGAUGAUGAUUUUGCUACUUGGAUUUGAAAAAGAUCUUGAAAAGAUGAUAUUUUUGGUUGUUUUGGUGGAUUGAUUGGUAUGAUAAUUGAUUUCUCUUUGUUCUUGCUGUGUUAAUUGAGGUUAUGUGUAUUAGAAUGAAUUUUUAGAAUUACUCUUUGUUUCCUUUGGUUUAGGUUCUGUAGUGCGCGUUAUCAGGUUUAUGUAGCUACUCAUAACAAACUUAUGUAGGCGUUCGGUUUAAGAUGAGCACUGUAAUAUUUAUAGAGAUGAGCACUGUAAUAACAAACUUUCUUGUGUCCUUGAUUUGACUGAUAAGUAAAUUGAGUCAAGUUUUGUGAUUUUACUGCUGUGAUAUAAAGAUUGGACAAUUGUAGAUUAGUUCCUGUUCUUAAUAAAAAGACGACUAUAGACAGCUUUACGUCUUUGUCAUAAAAUGUGGAAGUGUUAGUUUUAAGCUUGUGUAAAUGUGUAUUUGAUCCCUAUUGUGACUUGCCUAGAUGGGAGAACCUUAAAUUUUGAGCCCCGAAUUUUUUGAUUUAAAUGAGUAAAAUAUGGAAGUGGAGUUCAAAAGAGAACAUUCAUCAAAACCAAGUCAUGACUCUUAACAAUUGCACCAUUUUUUUCUUUUCUUUUCUAUUUUUUUUUUACCUUCAUAGGACUACAAAAAUAAAACUCACUAGUAGUCAUGACUCAGUAAUUUUUUUUUAAUUUUCAAUAUGACUUUGAUUGUUUUAAAUUAAUGUUAAGUGUAUGGUAGUGGGUUUGGAUGCUUGUUAUUGGUUGAAUUGUGGGUAAAAUUCAGUUUAGAAUGUUGGCAUAGUACUUAGAUUCAAUAAAAUGAUUGAAUAUUCUACUUUUGUAAAAUGAAAUUAAAAAAUUGAAAUAAUAAAGAAGCAUUUGAGGAAAAGUAGACUUCUGUUUAUGCAUUAUAUUCCUGGAUCUGUUUAGCCGCUGCCUCGCAAGGCUGCUGCUGCAACCGCUGCCUCGCAAGGAUGCUGUUGCAUGCUUCUAUGCCCUGCUGUUGUUCUGAUCUCCUGAUGCUGCAGCUAUGCUCUACGCCACUGCUGUAAUACUCUCGCUGCUGUUAAUCUGCUUUACGCUACUAUUAAUUUGGUGUUGUUUUGCUGUCAUAUUUGCUUAUAAAAUUUUCAUUUUUGUCAUCUGUUUUUUUUUUUUUAUUAUUUUUUAUUGAGUUGUGCCUCAAAAUUUUGUUAUAACAUUCAUAGUUUCUGCAUAUUUCAAAAGACAGAAAGAAAGAUGAUUCUUGCAAAGAAAGAUGAUUCAUAGUUUCUUGCAUGUUUCAAAGAAAGAUGGAAUACUAAUAAUAAGAAAUUCAGAAUAAAGAGGUCCUAUUGGCUGUGGGAAUUCAGAAGGUUGGACAGUGAGAUAAGGUUAUGCACGUGUAUGUCUAAAAGCCUUACACUUGACUUAGUUGGUAGUUUAAGAUUACGUGUAUCAGUAUGUACCCCAUGCACAAUUUUGAGGGUGGAUGUAUUGGAGAGGUUUCGAGUGAUUCCUGUGAUUGGAGAAGGGUUUGAGCCUGUUUAUGUUCCUCAAUUGACGGCGAAUAUGCAAGUUGGUUUGCUGGAUGAUUUCCUUGCUAAUUAAGGGGUUCAAGCUGCGAUUUUGACAAAUUUGAAGAUGCUACUGCUGCCCUGCGUGCCCUGCUGCUACUGCUGCCUUGCAGCUACUGGCUCGCAAGGCUGCUGCUGCCUCGCAAGGCUGCUACUGCAGCUGCUGCCCGCUUCUAUGCUGUCCUGGUCUACGCUACUACUUCUAUGCUCCUGCAAAUGCUGCUGCUAUACUCUACGCCACUGUUGCCAAUCUGCUCUAAGCUACUGUUGUAAUUUUAUUACAGUCGAUCUGUUACAAUAUAAAACUAUAUUCUUUUUUUUUUUUAAAUUAAAAUUGUAAUGUUACAGCUUUAUAUUAAUAAAAAUUAUAA